rnacentral:rRNA from 1 species
AUUGAACGCUGGCGGCAUGCCUUACACAUGCAAGUCGAACGGCAGCGGACCUUCGGGUGCCGGCGAGUGGCGAACGGGUGAGUAAUAUAUCGGAACGUACCUUUCAGUGGGGGAUAACGUAGCGAAAGUUACGCUAAUACCGCAUAUUCUGUGAGCAGGAAAGCAGGGGAUCGCAAGACCUUGCGCUGAUUGAGCGGCCGAUAUCAGAUUAGCUAGUUGGUGAGGUAAAGGCUCACCAAGGCGACGAUCUGUAGCGGGUCUGAGAGGAUGAUCCGCCACACUGGAACUGAGACACGGUCCAGACUCCUACGGGAGGCAGCAGUGGGGAAUUUUGGUACAAUAGGGCGGCCGAAGACCUCGAUACCACGCCACUG